UACGGGGGGGGCAAGCGUUAUUCGGAAUUACUGGGCGUAAAGGGCUCGUAGGCGGCCAACUAAGUCGGACGUGAAAUCCCCAGGCUCAACCUGGGAACUGCGUCCGAUACUGGAUGGCUUGAAUCCGGGAGAGGGAUGCAGAAUUCCAGGUGUAGCGGUGAAAUGCGUAGAUAUCUGGAGGAAUACCGGUGGCGAAGGCGGCAUCCUGGACCGGCAUUGACGCUGAGGAGCGAAAGCCAGGGGAGCAAACGGG
rnacentral:rRNA from 1 species